UACGAAGGGGGCUAGCGUUGCUCGGAAUCACUGGGCGUAAAGGGCGCGUAGGCGGACUUUUAAGUCGGGGGUGAAAGCCCAGGGCUUAACCCUGGAAUUGCCUUCGAUACUGGGAGUCUUGAGUUCGGAAGAGGUUGGUGGAACUGCGAGUGUAGAGGUGAAAUUCGUAGAUAUUCGCAAGAACACCAGUGGCGAAGGCGGCCAACUGGUCCGAAACUGACGCUGAGGCGCGAAAGCGUGGGGAGCAAACAGG
rnacentral:rRNA from 1 species